UACGGAGGGAGCUAGCGUUGUUCGGAAUUACUGGGCGUAAAGAGUACGUAGGCGGUUAUUCAAGUCAGAGGUGAAAGCCUGGAGCUCAACUCCAGAACUGCCUUUGAAACUAGAUAACUUGAAUCACGGAGAGGUUAGUGGAAUUCCGAGUGUAGAGGUGAAAUUCGUAGAUAUCGGGAGGAACACCAGUGGCGAAGGCGGUCUGCUGGGCCGUUGCUGACGCUGAGGCGCGACAGCGUGGGGAGCAAACAGG
rnacentral:rRNA from 1 species